GACGAACGCUGGCGGCGUGCUUAACACAUGCAAGUCGAACGGUAAGGCUCCAGCUUGCUGGGGUACACGAGUGGCGAACGGGUGAGUAACACGUGGGUGACCUGCCCUGCACUUCGGGAUAAGCCUGGGAAACUGGGUCUAAUACCGGAUAGGACCGCACCGUGAGGGUGUGGUGGAAAGUUUUUUCGGUGUGGGAUGGGCCCGCGGCCUAUCAGCUUGUUGGUGGGGUAAUGGCCUACCAAGGCGGCGACGGGUAGCCGGCCUGAGAGGGUGGACGGCCACAUUGGGACUGAGACACGGCCCAGACUCCUACGGGAGGCAGCAGUGGGGAAUAUUGCACAAUGGGCGGAAGCCUGAUGCAGCGACGCCGCGUGGGGGAUGACGGCCUUCGGGCUGUAAACUCCUUUCACCAUCGACGAAGGGUUUCUGACGGUAGAUGGAGAAGAAGCACCGGCUAACUACGUG
rnacentral:rRNA from 1 species